rnacentral:rRNA from 1 species
UACAGAGGUCCCAAGCGUUGUUCGGAUUCACUGGGCGUAAAGGGUGCGUAGGUGGUGAAGUAAGUUUGAUGUGAAAUCCCCGGGCUUAACCCGGAAACUGCAUUGAAUACUAUUUCGCUCGAGGGUUGGAGGGGGGACUGGAAUACUUGGUGUAGCAGUGAAAUGCGUAGAUAUCAAGUGGAACACCAGUGGCGAAGGCGAGUCCCUAGACAACUCCUGACACUGAGGCACGAAAGCUAGGGGAGCAAACAGG